GACGAACGCUGGCGGCGUGCCUAAUACAUGCAAGUCGAACGCAGUGGCGGACGGGUGAGUAACGCGUAAUCAACCUGCCCUUCAGAGGGGGACAACAGUUGGAAACGACUGCUAAUACCGCAUACUGAAGGAGGGGAUUGCGCCUGAUUAGCUAGUUGGCGGGGUAACGGCCCACCAAGGCGAUGAUCCUUGGCCGGUCUGAGAGGAUGAACGGCCACAUUGGAACUGAGACACGGCCCAGACUCCUACGGGAGGCAGCAGUGGGGAAUCUUCCGCAAUGGACGAAAGUCUGACGCAGCAACGCCGCGUGGAGGAUGACACUUUUCGGAGCGUAAACUCCUUUUGUUAGGGAAGCGGUACCUAACGAAUAAGCACCGGCUAACUCCGUGCCAGCAGCCGCGGUAAUAC
rnacentral:rRNA from 1 species